rnacentral:rRNA from 1 species
UACGUAGGGUGCGAGCGUUAAUCGGAAUUACUGGGCGUAAAGGGCUCGUAGGUGGCCAACUAAGUCAGACGUGAAAUCCCUCGGCUUAACCGGGGAACUUCGUCUGAUACUGGAUGGCUUGAGUUCGGGAGAGGGAUGCGGAAUUCCAGGUGUAGCGGUGAAAUGCGUAGAUAUCUGGAGGAACACCGGUGGCGAAGGCGGCAUUCUGGACCGAUAUUGACGCUGAGGAGCGAAAGCCAGGGGAGCAAACGGG